rnacentral:rRNA from 1 species
GUUAGGAAUAUUGGACAAUGGGCGAAAGCCUGAUCCAGCCAUGCCGCGUGAACGAUGAAGGCCUUCGGGUUGUAAAGUUCUUUAGCCGAUGAUUAUAAUGACUGUAGUCGGAAAAUAAGCCCCGGCUAACUUCGUGCCAGCAGCCGCGGUAAUACGAAGGGGGCGAGCGUUAUUCGGAAUCACUGGGCGUAAAGCGUGCGUAGGCGGUUUUGUAAGUUAGGAGUGAAAGCCCAGGUCUCAACCUUGGAAUUGCUCUUAAAACUGCAAGGCUCGAAUCUCGGAGAGGAUAGCGGAAUUUCCAGUGUAGCAGUGAAAUGCGUAGAUAUUGGAAGGAACACCAGUGGCGUAAGCGGCUAUCUGGACGAGUAUUGACGCUGAGGCACGAAAGCGUGGGGAUCAAACAGGAUUAGAUACCCUUGUAGUCC